rnacentral:rRNA from 1 species
GCCUGGUAGUGGGGGACAACGUUUCGAAAGGAACGCUAAUACCGCAUACGUCCUACGGGAGAAAGCAGGGGACCUUCGGGCCUUGCGCUAUCAGAUGAGCCUAGGUCGGAUUAGCUAGUAGGUGAGGUAAUGGCUCACCUAGGCGACGAUCCGUAACUGGUCUGAGAGGAUGAUCAGUCACACUGGAACUGAGACACGGUCCAGACUCCUACGGGAGGCAGCAGUGGGGAAUAUUGGACAAUGGGCGAAAGCCUGAUCCAGCCAUGCCGCGUGUGUGAAGAAGGUCUUCGGAUUGUAAAGCACUUUAAGUUGGGAGGAAGGGUUGUACGCUAAUACCGUGCAAUUUUGACGUUUUUUUUCUUAAUAAGCACCGGCUAACUCUGUGCCAGCAGCCGCGGUAAUACAGAGGGUGCAAGCGUUAAUCGGAAUUACUGGGCGUAAAGCGCGCGUAGGUGGUUCGUUAAGUUGGAUGUGAAAGCCCCGGGCUCAACCUGGGAACUGCAU